AAUUAACGCGUUGUAUAUUAUCAGUACAUUACUAUGUACACGUACGAUGUUAUCCGUCGGUUAACCGCACAAUAUCUGAAGAAAACGACGGCGGUUGAAAUGGGUACGGGGCAACCGGUUAUCGCGUGGUUCACGCCACGGCCGUUUUCGAGUACUUGCACGGGUCGAAAAGUGUUUAAUGAUUAAUUCCUAUUUCGAAAACCGGUCGGUGGCUGA